GACGAACGCUGGCGGCGUGCCUAACACAUGCAAGUCGAGCGAAUGAAAUUCCUUCGGGAACGGAUUUAGCGGCGGACGGGUGAGUAACACGUGGGCAACCUGCCUCAUAGAGGGGAAUAGCCUUCCGAAAGGGAGAUUAAUACCGCAUAAGAUUGUAGUACCGCAUGGUACAGCAAUUAAAGGAGCAAUCCGCUAUGAGAUGGGCCCGCGGCGCAUUAGCUAGUUGGUGAGGUAACGGCUCACCAAGGCGACGAUGCGUAGCCGACCUGAGAGGGUGAUCGGCCACAUUGGGACUGAGACACGGCCCAGACUCCUACGGGAGGCAGCAGUGGGGAAUAUUGCACAAUGGGGGAAACCCUGAUGCAGCAACGCCGCGUGAGUGAUGACGGCCUUCGGGUUGUAAAGCUCUGUCUUCAGGGACGAUAAUGACGGUACCUGAGGAGGAAGCCACGGCUAACUACGUGCCAGCCGCCGCAGUAAGAC
rnacentral:rRNA from 1 species